GGGAGAUGCCGCUCGGCGCGCGGGACCCGGGGCUCCGCGCCACGCGGCCCCCGCCGAGGGACCCUGAGCACGUUCAGAAGUUGCCACAGAGACCCUGACAGCUCUUGUCUCCGACUCUGAGGGCCAGCAAAGCUAGUGAAUUACCCGCGCCAGGCCCAGAGCUGCAGUGCCCUCAGUGAGAGGCUGAUCGGAGUGGAUUUGCUGUCUGGAUCCAAACAAACUAAUCUGGGUGCAGAAUUGUUCUCUGGCACCUCAUCAAGCAAAUAGUCAACGGAACUCCAAGUCCUUGCUCUGCUGCAGCCUCAGGACACAGAGAACCCAGGGAGGCAGAGUUUGAA